rnacentral:lncRNA from 1 species
CGCCAGGCGGAGGCCAAGGGUCAGGGAGCUAAUAACCAGGAACACGUUCAAUACAGUACUCUCAGGGACAAGAGAAAAGACUUUACACACGACCACGGUUGCGAAGAUGGAAGAGACAUGCCAAGGGGUCCUGAAGCAGGUCCACUUUACACCUUUUUCGGCCUGUUCUCUGUACUGGAGAUGGAGCCUUGCUUUCUUGCUCGGCUGGCUGCUGGCCUGGUUUUAGCCUUCUGGAGGCAGCAACAGGACAUUGGAGGACAAGAGGAGAAAAAGGUAAGGGUAGUAUUCCUCCCCAACUCCUUCCCAGCCUCUGCACUGCUUCUCUGGCAGUAUUUGUAUUCCUUUAUAAUUACAGCUCUUGCUGGGUGGCCUCUACUCCAUAGGUCAUUCUCAGCUCCCCAAACCUUAAGAAGUGCAACAACUUGAAAGAAAAU